rnacentral:rRNA from 1 species
UACGUCGGGACCGAGCGUUGUCCGGAUUCAUUGGGCGUAAAGAGCUCGUAGGCGGCCACUCAAGUCGAAUGUGAAACCUCGAGGCUUAACCUCGAGCCUGCAUUCGAUACUGGGCGGCUAGAGUCUGGUAGGGGGAUCUGGAAUUCCUGGUGUAGCGGUGAAAUGCGCAGAUAUCAGGAGGAACACCGAUGGCGAAGGCAGCUCGCUGGGACGGUACUGACGCUGAGGCGCGAAAGCGUGGGGAGCAAACAGG